UCCGAGUUGACCCCGGCAGUCUCCCAUGAGUCCCCACCAUCACGUGCUGGCAACAUGGAACGAGGGUUGCGCUCGUUGCGGGACUUAACCCAACAUCUCACGACACGAGCUGACGACAACCAUGCACCACCUGUGCACGGCCCUUACGGACCCCGCAUCUCUGCGAGAUUUCCGUGCAUGUCAAGCCUAGGUAAGGUUCUUCGCGUUGCAUCGAAUUAAGCAACAUGCUCCGCCGCUUGUGCGGGCCCCCGUCAAUUCCUUUGAGUUUUAGCCUUGCGGCCGUACUCCCCAGGCGGGGCGCUUAAUGCGUUAGCUGCGGCACGGAGACCGUGGAAUGGCCCCCACACCUAGCGCCCAACGUUUACGGCGUGGACUAC
rnacentral:misc_RNA from 1 species